GGCUUCCCGAAUUCGUGCUGGGAUUUCGUCAGACACCGACCCAUCAGGCCUGACUAAACUUUCAAGAUAAGUGAAGUA
rfam:Schistosoma margrebowiei strain Zambia genome assembly, scaffold: SMRZ_scaffold0001325